AGAGUUUGAUCAUGGCUCAGAGUGAACGCUGGCGGCAGGCCUAACACAUGCAAGUCGAGCGGCAGCGCGUCCGACCACCCUCGGGUGGUCGGAUGGCGGCGAGCGGCGGACGGGUGAGGAAUGCAUCGGAAUCUGCCUCGUUGUGGGGGAUAACGUAGGGAAACUUACGCUAAUACCGCAUACGACCUACGGGUGAAAGUGGGGGACCUUCGGGCCUCACGCGAUGAGAUGAGCCGAUGCCGGAUUAGCUAGUUGGCGGGGUAAAGGCCCACCAAGGCGACGAUCCGUAGCUGGUCUGAGAGGAUGAUCAGCCACACUGGAACUGAGACACGGUCCAGACUCCUACGGGAGGCAGCAGUGGGGAAUAUUGGACAAUGGGGGCAACCCUGAUCCAGCCAUGCCGCGUGUGUGAAGAAGGCCUUCGGGUUGUAAAGCACUUUUGUUGGGGAAGAAACCGGCCGGGUUAAUACCCUGGUUGAAUGACGGUACCCAAAGAAUAAGCACCGGCUAACUUCGUGCCAGCAGCCGCGGUAAUACGAAGGGUGCAAGCGUUACUCGGAAUUACUGGGCGUAAAGCGUGCGUAGGCGGUUUGUUAAGUCUGCUGUG
rnacentral:rRNA from 1 species